GCACCCGUAGCUCAAUCGGAUAGAGCAACUGCCUUCUAAGCAGUAGGUUAUCGGUUCGAUUCCGGUCGGGUGCG
rnacentral:tRNA from 1 species